rnacentral:lncRNA from 1 species
CGUGGGACUAGGGAUUGCCGGAGAUCUCGGAGAGGACCGGGGCGGGGGAACUUUCAAAGGCGGGUCCGGCGAUCCGGUGGAGAAGCGCUGGAGCUCCGCCCGGGCAGCAGACAAAACUCUCUGUCUGCCGGUAGCAGAGGGGCCACGCUGAGCAUUCAGAGCUCCCGGCAGAGGCCCGGAGAGAAGCCCAGAGGGCGGGGCGACCCCCAGCUGCCGUUGCCCACCAGGUGAGGCUAGGGAUUGCCGGAGAUCUCGGAGAGGACUGGGGCUGGAGAGAGUUCCAGAGACCCAGCUUAGUAGCCUAGGGGGAAACCCUACAGGCUCACAGAAGCCUUAGGGAAAGCCUCUGCACAGCACCAGUAGAAGGCACCCAGCCGCCAGCCACAAGGCUGGAAGACCCCAGGGCAAAAGCAGCAUAGCUAGGUGUACUAACCACAGACUGUAGAAGAUGCCAAUAGCUCUCCUGCGACCCAUAGAGGACAAGUGAGAUUUGGUGGGUGCCGACAGCAACCGAGCGACAAAUAAAAGUGAUCCCACCCCUGGCCGCUGGAAAAGCCCAUAACACCGUUGCAGACUCCAAGGAGAGAGCGCAUCUAGGUGGGCAACAACAGUAGGCACCUGCAGUCUGAAGCCCCCCGUGACGGCCCCCACGGCAGAGGAGGGAAUCCAAAGGGCCACUGUGGCUACGAAGAGGGGCCCAGGCCCAGUUAGCAACUACGGACAGGGUUCCUGGUUGGUGAAGUAUUAACAGCUGCUCCCCCCACCGCAGCAGCUGAAACAAGUGAAAGGAGCAACUAAACUCUAUCUCCAUGCGGAGGCACAAAUCAACAUCAUCAAGCAAUAUGAAAAAAUACAUCAAAUCUCCAGAACAGAAAGAAAGUAACAAAUACACAGAAAACAAUCCCAAAGAAAAUGAGAUAUAUAACCUAAAUGAUGAUGACUUCAAAACAGCCAUCAUUAAAAUACUCACUGAGUUAAGAGAGAAUUCUGACCGACAACUCAACGAGUUCAGGAGCUAUGUCACAAAAGAGUUUGAUACGAUAAAGAAGAACCAAACAG